GAUGAACGCUGGCGGCGUGCUUAACACAUGCAAGUCGAACGAAGCAUUUAGGACAGAUUACUUCGGUUUGAAGUUCUUUAUGACUGAGUGGCGGACGGGUGAGUAACGCGUGGGUAACCUGCCUUGUACUGGGUGAUAGCAGCUGGAAACAGCUGGUAAUACUGCAUAAGCGCACAAUGUUGCAUGACAUGGUGUGAAAAACUCUGGCGGUAUAAGAUGGAUCCGCGUCUGAUUAGCUAGUUGGUGAAAUAACAGCCCACCAAGGCGACGAUCAGUAGCCGACAUUGGAACGGGGCCGGGCACAAUGGGCCUGAGACACGGACCAGACUCCUACGGGAGGCAGCAGGGGGGAAUAUUGCACAAUGAAGGAGACUCUAAGGCGGCGGCGCCGCGGGAGUUAAGAAGUAGUUCGUAAGGUAAAGCUCUGUCAGCAGGGAAGAUAGUGACGGUACCUGACGAAGAAGCUCCGGCUAAAUACGUG
rnacentral:rRNA from 1 species